UACGUAGGGGGCAAGCGUUGUCCGGAAUCAUUGGGCGUAAAGAGCGUGUAGGCGGCCAGAGAAGUCCGCUGUGAAAACUCGAGGCUCAACUUCGAGCUGUCGGUGGAAACUUUCUGGCUAGAGUCCGGAAGAGGAGAAUGGAAUUCCUGGUGUAGCGGUGAAAUGCGCAGAUAUCAGGAGGAACACCAAUGGCGAAGGCAGCACUCUGGGACGUGACUGACGCUGAGACGCGAAAGCGUGGGGAGCAAACAGG
rnacentral:rRNA from 1 species